CGCUGGGGGCAUCCUCCAAGACAAGCAAAGUUGAAGGAUAGACUCAAGUCACUCCUAAGAAAUUGCACAAGAAGCAUACGUCUCCUCCACAUGUUCGCCAAUCGGAAAGGGGGCAAAGCAGCUCUUGUCAACCUUCAAAGCAACAUGAACAUGUUGAAGAUGAUGAAAUUUCGACACAUAGAUCGUCCAUCCCCAUCACGAUGCGUGAUUUCUUUCCUGAAGACUUCUUCAACUACUUAGUCAAGGCUCCUUGCUAUGAAGAUUGCGAGGAACAACUCUCUCAGAU
rnacentral:lncRNA from 1 species